CUGGAACGCACCGGUGACAGAAUGCAAAAUGGAGGACGCUGGUGAAUGUUCAUCUCUCCAUCACACAUCACUAUCUCUGCUUCCUCUCCUGAGUCCUUGUGCCUCCUCGCCUCACAGGGUCCAUUGGACCUGCUGGUUCUGAGUAUAUAUUUGAUAGAGUUCAUUUGAACAGAAUGUAUUUGAUGGAACAUUUUAGCCGUGAUAAAAACCAACCGUUGCGUCCUGGGGACGGGGAUGUCCGUUUCCCACCGUGUUGUCACCUGUUGCUCUCUGCAUGGACACCCAGCUCAUCCCCCCCCCACAUACACACACUGACUGCCCCACACUGUGCGUAUAGAAGCCCGGCUCGCAGCGCUCCGUCCCCCCCAGAGCAGCUCGUGGAGUCAGCGUUACUUCCACACACAAGAAAGGAAAUGCAGAUGAGGCUCCGGCGGCCAUUCACGAAGCGGCUCAGUGCGGCGGCAGGGAGGACCCGUGAGGGAGGACCAGGGCGCUGCUGGACCUGCUGGACCUGCUGCAGGGUCACCUCCAGGGGUCUGGCCCAAACCCUCCAUCAGUGCCUGAUGAAGCUGCAUCCUCCUCCUCCGCUGCUCUGUGGACAGUUCUUCCAGAGCUCCUGCUUCAUAUCCUGUUGGAGUGAUGCAGCAGAAGCACAUGAACAGGAUCCGAGAUCAGAUUUCACAUAUUAUUAUUAUUAUUUUGUGCCGGUCGGUCACUGUUUCAUGUUGUAUGUCUGAGAUGUUUAAUGUGCUACUGCUGGCUUGUAAAAAGACAUUUUUAAUCUCAAUGAAGCUUUUCCUGGUUAAAUAAAUAUAAAUAAUAAUUAAAUAAUAUCCCGGAGCCAAGACAUUCGGUUCUGGAGUGUUUAUGUUAAACUCUGCUUCAAACACCAGGUAUCUUCAUGUGUGUGUGUGUGAUGAUGUAGUUACACCAGAGGGCAGGAGGAGCCCUAGUGGUAGUAUGAUUAUAAUAAUAUAGACUUUAAUCUGAGAAUUUAGGAUUACAUUUUUAAAGCACACGGAGGAAGUCGUUUAUUUUUUUUCACAUGUAAUAAUAACCAAUAAUAAAGCGACCCCAUAAGUGGCUGAACAAGUCAUUAUCACAUUAAAAUAACUUCUGGCACAAUGUGGUCCAGUUCAAAAUGCUUCUGAACCCAGAAGUGUUCUUUUAUUCUUGUAUUAGAGGAGCAUGAUAUCACAGCUUAAUUCAGAUUCAUUAAAAACAAUAACAAUGCAUGUAGUGUGACAUAGUACUGUAACUGGUAUUAGUCUGGAUACCUUUUAUAAUAUGAGCUUCACUUUGAGAUGUUUCCAGCAGACACAGGAUACAUGUUGAUAUCAUAUAUAUAUACAUAGAAAAUAUAUAUAACAUAUUUAUAUAUAUAUGUAUAUCUAUAUAAUAUAUCUAUAUCAUAUAUAUAUAAAUGUAAUAUAUAUAUAUAGUCUUUCAAAGUUAAUAUAAAAUGGUUGUGAUGUGCAGAUGUGAUCCAUAAUCAUGAGGAUAUUUCAAUACAGCCGCUGAGUCAUCAAAUCAACUUACUAAUAUUACAUGUUUGGCCCAUGGGAUGUGUGUGUGUGUGUGUGUGUGUGUCAGUAUGCAUGCAUUAAAAUAAUCUUCUAGAAACA